GAAACACAGAAGUUAAUAAAACAGACAAGGACCCUGCCACGUGAAGCUUGCAUUUUAUUGGAAGAAGAAAAAUAUUAAACAAAUAAAUACAAUAAAGACGUAUAUAAUAGCAUAGUAUCAGAUAAUGAUAGUUGAUUUUAAGAAAAUGAAACAGGAUAACAGAAUGGACAGUGAGGGCAGGUAUUUGAUUAGGAUGGUUGAAGAAGACCUCUCUGAGAAGAUAACAUUUGAAUAGAGGUGUGGAUGAUAGAAAGAAGCUGGCCAGGAAAAAGGGAUGGAAGAACAGCUUUCUGGACAGAGAGACCAGCUAGUGACGAGGCUUAAUAGAAAGAGUUUGACAUGGAGCAGGACGGGCAAGGAAAUUAACGAAGCCCAGGCAAGCAUGCUGGCUAAUGAGAGAUCAAGACCCUGUCAUCCCAGACACUUCUGCUGCCGUGAUCAACAGCCUGCUAACUGCCAGUAUACGAGCUACCACCUGACUCCCCAGCUAGACACAGUGCUAAGUCUUCAUGCCUGGAAUAAUGUCUUGUAGACAUAGAAGACAGAAGACAGUCAAUUUGAGAGUGGAUGGUGAAGGAAUAGGUGGCUGAAUCUUUGCACAUUGUUAGGAUAUCAUCUGGCUCAUUAUUUUCAGUGUCUCUGGACACUGAUAAGCACUUUCUAAGAACGCUGCUGGAAGGGUAGGAGAGGUUUGGAGGGGAUCUCCUCUCAUUACACCAUUCGCCCAUACACAGUACACACAUGUAUUAACUGAUAUCAGAAGAAAGCAGCUGAAGAUCUGCUUCCAGAUGUCUCAGUGGGGAAACACAGUCCCAAUGCAGAAUAAAAACCCCAUUGAGCAUAGGUACAGCCCAAUAAAUGGUAGUUACUUUUCCCCCCAAAGACUUUUUUUUAAAAUCAGUUGUAGGGUCACAAGAAAUGAGCAGGAAGUAUAGAGUUUCCAUAUACCCCUUCCCCUGCCAACCUCCUCCACUACCAACAUCCUCAUUAGAGAGGUACAUUUGUUACAACUGACGAACCUACAUUGACACAUCAUUACCACCCAAAGUCCAUAGUUUACAUUACAGCUCACUCUUAGGGUUGUACAUUCUAUGGGUUUGGACAAAUAUAUGACUACAUGUAUCCACCAUUGCAGUAUCACACAGGAUAGUUUCACUGCCCUAAAAAUCUCCCUUGCUCCACUUUUUUUGCCUUUCCUCCUAACCUCAGGUAACCACUGAUCCUUUUACUAUCUCCACAGUUUUGCCUUUCCCAGAAUGUCAUAUAGUUGGAAUCAUACAGUAUGUAGACAUUUUCAGAUUGGCUUCUUUCAUUUAGCAAUAAUGCAUUGAAGUUUCUUCCUUGUCUUUUCAUGGCUUUAUAAAGUUAUAGAGUUAUAACUCAUUUAUUUUUAGUACUGAAUAACAGCUCCUUGUUUUGAUGUACCACAGUUUAUGUAUCCAUUCCUCUUCUGAAGGACAUCUUGCUUGCUUCCAGCAAUUAUAAAUAAACAUCCAUAUGCAGGUUUUUAUGUGUAUAGUUGCCUUUUUAAAUUUGUUUUUGAAUUAUUUGCUUAAACUCAGAGGCAAAAACAUAUAAUCCCUCACAUUUUGGAGUUAGACAACUUCUGCCCAGUGCUGCCAAUUAUUGGUCAUAUAAUCUCAAGCAAUUUAUUUUUUCUUUCUUGACUUUGCAUGAUCAAGCAUCUGCAUAAGGAAGAAACUAGAACCAUGGUUAAGAAGGUUUUUCUGAAAUUAGAAGAAGUAAUGCUUAAAAAGUAAUGACAGGUGUCAUGUAUGAUCACUGGCUAGAACAGUUAUAAGAAGUUAUCAUGAAUGAUAAAAAUUACCACUGAAAAUAGUUAUCGGUAAUGCUAACAUUAGCAUUGUUAUUAAUUACUAAUAUUAAAAUUAUUAUUUUAAUGCUAAUAGUUGUUACAAGUGAUAAUAGCUAUUAAUUGUUAUAGUUAACAUUAAUGAUAAUAUUUGUAAGUCCUUAAGAUGUACUAGUCAACAUUCUCAGUGCUGUCCAUGUAGUAACUCUUCACUCUUACUGUAAGUGGUUGGUUCUAUGUAUUAUACAGGUGAGGAAAUUAAGACCCAAAGAGUCUAAGUAACUUCUCUAAAGUUCUAAAACUAGUAAUUUGCCAGAGCUGGAAUUUGAAUCUGCCUCUAAAAUCUGUGCUUUUAGUAGAGAAUAUAAUUCAUAAUAAAUAUUAAAUUAGUUU
rnacentral:lncRNA from 1 species